UGGGGAAUAUUGGACAAUGGGCGAAAGCCUGAUCCAGCCAUGCCGCGUGUGUGAAGAAGGUCUUCGGAUUGUAAAGCACUUUAAGUUGGGAGGAAGGGCAGUAAGCGAAUACCUUGCUGUUUUGACGUUACCGACAGAAUAAGCACCGGCUAACUCUGUGCCAGCAGCCGCGGUAAUACAGAGGGUGCAAGCGUUAAUCGGAAUUACUGGGCGUAAAGCGCGCGUAGGUGGUUCGUUAAGUUGAAUGUGAAAGCCCCGAGCUUAACUUGGGAAUUGCAUUCGAUACUGGUUAGCUAGAGUGUGGGAGAGGAUGGUAGAAUUCCAGGUGUAGCGGUGAAAUGCGUAGAGAUCUGGAGGAAUACCGAUGGCGAAGGCAGCCAUCUGGCCUAACACUGACGCUGAGGUACGAAAGCAUGGGGAGCAAACAGG
rnacentral:rRNA from 1 species